GGGUUCGAUUCCCGGUCAGGGAAGUGCAGU
rnacentral:piRNA from 1 species